rnacentral:rRNA from 1 species
UACGGAGGGUGCAAGCGUUAUCCGGAUUCACUGGGUUUAAAGGGUGCGUAGGCGGCUUGAUAAGUCAUUGGUGAAAGCUCGCAGCUUAACUGCGAAACUGCCAUUGAAACUGUCAAGCUUGAAUGUGGUUGAAGUGGGCGGAAUACAACAUGUAGCGGUGAAAUGCUUAGAUGUGUUUUAGAACACCGAUUGCGAAGGCAGCUCACUAAGCCAAUAUUGACGCUGAGGCACGAAAGCGUGGGUAGCGAACAGG